GCAUGCCUUUGAAAACAUUGAACAAACUUUUUAGUCACUAUUUAUAGAACAGCCACAAGCUUUGUGUCUUUCUACAGAGCUAAAAAGAGAACGUGACACUAACCAAUCAAAAUAUCACACAGGCCUUGAGCUAGAAUAGUGAUUUUAUGUUUGACUGUUUAGGCGAUACAUUAAAGGUUCAGUGGACACCAGUGUUUUAUAUUGUCUUAUGUGAUGCUAACAGCUGAAGAAAUCAGGAUUUCACUGAGCUUGAGUAAUUGGGCGAUGUGUGACAAGAGACUAUUCCUGGUGACAAGCAUGUCUAGUCCUUCACCCGUAUAAAAUCAGAUGGGAAAGCUCUGCAGUUUAUUCAGGCGGAGAAGAUGUUCUACGAAGUGGCAUUGAUCGAGCUCACCUCGCUACAGGCCAGCACAGGGUCUCAGGAAGACGGAACAUUGGGAACGUCAGGAUGUCUGUCUCAAGAGGAGUUAACAGAACAGGCUUCACAGGCCCAGGAUCUUGAGAGACUGGCUCAGCUCUGCAUCAUGAGCAAAAGACCCCACCUUGCUUUAGAAUACAGUGGCAAGGCCACUAAAAUCCACCAGAGGGCUUUUGGUAAUGAUCACCCCAUCACUGCCCGGAGUCUGGAGCUGCUAGCCACUGUCUAUGCAGAGAUCGGCAAAACAGAAUAUACAAAUUCAUUGGGAGAGUGUGUGUCGACUCUUUCCAAAAGGUUCUCAGCCACCGAGUCAUUCAGUGACGCUCUGAGUAGCAUUUCUCAUAGCCAUAAGGAGAGACACUCUGAGCUGCGACACAGAAAAAAGCCAUGCAUACAACAGGAAACUCCAAAAACAAAGGUCAUAAAUGAAAAACUGCCCACCUCUAUUCUGAAAAGGUCCAAUGUGAGCAAUGUGGAGUCAGACUCAUCGCGAAAGCGAAAAACCGAGAGGCGGGUUCGCUUCAGAGAGCCGGAGAUCACUGUUCAUGUCUACGACACUCCCCAGAGCCAUUUGCACCUGGCCCUGCUCACCUGCCUAUUCCUGCUUCUGUCUGCGCUGGGUCUAGCACUGUACUGCACGGACCGCCGGAGACCCCAGCGCGCCUGCGAAGAGCUGCAGACGGCACUGGCUGUGUACCUGCUUCAGUUCAAACAGAUCGUUUGGGCCUGCUGGAUCUGGCUGACCAUGCAAUGACCAUAACUGACCACAGGGGGCAGCAACCAGCAGGAAAAAAAAACAUAAAAGGUCAGGAUGUUUUUUGAAGGACUGUGGAGGAAAUAAAAGAUAAAGGUCCUCGUUUUUUUAUUGCUUUAUUUUCACUGUUAUAAUCAGACUGGCCACCAGUCGAAUUCUCUGAGGAUCUUCAACAUCCACCUUUUUUAUUUUGUGGUUGAUUAAAGGCCAUGUGCUUUUCGCACCAUUAAGGGAUGGUGUGUCUUUUUGCCCUUUAUGGUGGCUAAUGCCUCAUUAUACUGAGCCAUAUAUAUUUAGAUAUUUGUAUGUAGCUCUUUUUCCUUGUAUAGCGGUUCUGGAUGCUGUGUUUUAAAGGAAUAGUUCACCAAAAAUGAUAAUUUGUUGAACAUUCAUUCAUCCUCAGGCCAUCCAAUAUGUAGAUGAGUUUGUUUCUUUAGCUUUACAUCACUUGCUCACCAGUGGAUCCUCUGUAGUAAAUGGGUGCCAUCAGAAUGAGAGUUCAAACAGCUGAUAAAAAUGUCAUAAUGAUUCAAAAGUAUUCCACACAUUUUGUGAAGCAACAAGCUGUGCGUUUGUGAGAAACAAAUCCAUCGUUAAGGCGUUUUAAACUUUAAACCCUUUUACUUGUGAAUUACUGUGAUGUUUUUAUCAGCUCUUUGGACUCUCAUUCUGACGGCACCCAUUCACUGCAGAGGAUCCAUUAGUGAGCAAGUGAUGUAAUGCUAAAUAUCCCCAAAUCUGUUCCGAUGAAGAAACAAACUCAUAAAAAUCUUGAUUAGACUGAGGUUGAGUACAUUUUCAGUACAUUUUUAUUUUUGGCUGAAUGUUUCCUUUUAAAGCAUCUUUUGGUGUACUUGUGCAGCAAUAUUAAUUAAAAACCUUUAGCACUCAGAAUUAUACAAGAGUGUCGAGAGAGGAAACGAAUGAAUGAAUUCCGUCCACAGGUAGAGCCCUACUGAUAUAUUAAUAGGUCAGUAUUAUCAGUUAAAUUAGGCAUGCAAGACAUUGAAUACCUUUACAGGUCUCUAAUAAGCAAUAUGAAUGAGCCACAUGUAACGGUGAGUACAUGCAUAAUAUCAUGUGCAUUGUCACAAAUAGUUACAUUUUAGUGCAGAGAACGCUUAGACACACACACACACACAUCGCAUGUGCUUAUAGAAUGGUUGGCUGGAUCAUUUCCUGCUAGUGCUGUUCUUUGUGUUCAUUUGCUUUAUACAAUAUUUACCUCAAUUUCUGAAAUGAGCCACAUGUAACGGUGAGUACAUGCAUAAUAUCAUGUGCAUUGUCACAAAUAGUUACAUUUUAGUGCAGAGAACGCUUAGACACACACACACACACACAUCGCAUGUGCUUAUAGAAUGGUUGGCUGGAUCAUUUCCUGCUAGUGCUGUUCUUUGUGUUCAUUUGCUUUAUACAAUAUUUACCUCAAUUUCUGAAGCGCUAUUUUUGUCUUAGGAUAUAAAUAUCAAUAUAAGGGCUUUCUGAUUCAAAGAGUGAAUUUAGGAAACUGCUGAAAUAAAUGUACUGUAUUACAAAAAUAAAGACAGGAUUGAGUUGGAAAUAUGUUUAUCCUCAGACACAUCCAAGAAUGGAUUUAUUUUUAUCCAGCUUCAAAACAUCGUAAUAUUUUGAUUUUGGUGCAACCAUAUCCUCUUAUUUGAGUUAAAUAUGAGAUCAAAGACAUGAUCCUCAUUUUUAUUGAGAAUUCUCC
rnacentral:lncRNA from 1 species